rnacentral:rRNA from 1 species
UUUUGAAAGGAUUGAAGCCAGUCGUACCUAUGGGUAAUCAGCCUUUUGGGUGUGAUUCUGUGGAGUGUGAAGAGUUAAACGCCUUCAUGCCUGCAUAUUCGUGCACUUUGGGUGUAUUUGCCCGUGUGGUAGGUUAACAUCAAUUUUGGUUGUCAUAAAACGGCUGGAGGAAUGUAGCUUCGAUCUCGUAUUGAAGUGUUAUAGACUUCGGUAGAUGUGACGAUCGAGAUUGAGGAUUGCAACGGAUACCCUUCGGGGCUACCUGUCUGAUCUCUGAUUGUUGCUCUGGUGCCGAAAGCGUGCUUACGGUUAUCAAAGUCGAUGAUCAAUAGGUUAGAACGGGUUAAAUUCGUUAAGGAUUGACGUAA